rnacentral:rRNA from 1 species
GACGAACGCUGGCGGCGUGCUUAACACAUGCAAGUCGAACGGUAAGGCCCUUCGGGGUACACGAGUGGCGAACGGGGGAGUAACACGUGGGUGAUCUGCCCUGCACUUCGGGAUAAGCCUGGGAAACUGGGUCUAAUACCGGAUAGGACCACUGCCUGCAUGGGUGGUGGUGGAAAGCUUUUGCGGUGUGGGAUGGGCCGGCGGCGUAUCGGCUUGUUGGUGGGGUGAUGGCCUACCAAGGCGACGACGGGUAGCCGGCCUGAGAGGGUGACCGGCCACACUGGGACUGAGAUACGGCCCAGACUCCUACGGGAGGCAGCAGUGGGGAAUAUUGCACAAUGGGCGCAAGCCUGAUGCAGCGACGCCGCGUGAGGGAUGACGGCCUUCGGGUUGUAAACCUCUUUCAGCACCGACGAAGCGCAAGUGACGGUAGGUGCAGAAGAAGGACCGGCCAACUACGUGCCAGCCGCCGCCGUAACAC